UACAGAGGUCUCAAGCGUUGUUCGGAUUCAUUGGGCGUAAAGGGUGUGUAGGUGGCGCGCUAAGUCGGGUGUGAAUUUCGGAGCUUAACUCCGAAACUGCAUUCGAUACUGGCGUGCUUGAGGACUGGAGAGGAGACUGGAAUUUACGGUGUAGCAGUGAAAUGCGUAGAUAUCGUAAGGAAGACCAGUGGCGAAGGCGGGUCUCUGGACAGUUCCUGACACUGAGACACGAAGGCCCAGGGGAGCAAACGGG
rnacentral:rRNA from 1 species